GACGAACGCUGGCGGCGUGCUUAACACAUGCAAGUCGAACGGAAAGGCCCUGCUUUUGUGGGGUGCUCGAGUGGCGAACGGGUGAGUAACACGUGAGUAACCUGCCCUUGACUUUGGGAUAACUUCAGGAAACUGGGGCUAAUAUCGGAUAGGAGCUUCUGCUGCAUGGUGGGGGUUGGAAAGUUUCGGCGGUUGGGGAUGGACUCGCGGCUUAUCAGCUUGUUGGUGGGGUAGUGGCUUACCAAGGCUUUGACGGGUAGCCGGCCUGAGAGGGUGACCGGCCACAUUGGGACUGAGGUACGGCGCAGACUCGUACGGGGGACAGCGGUGGGGAAUAUUGCACAGUGGGCGGAAGCCUGAUAAGGCGGCGCCGCGUGCGGGAUGACGGCCUUCGGGUAGUGAACCGCUUUCGCCUGUGACGAAGCGUGAGUGACGGUAAUGGGUAAAGAAGCACCGGCUAACUACGUG
rnacentral:rRNA from 1 species